UACGGGGGGGUCAAGCGUUGUUCGGAAUUACUGGGCGUAAAGGGCUCGUAGGCGGCCAACUAAGUCCGACGUGAAAUCCCCAGGCUUAACCUGGGAACUGCGUCGGAUACUGGAUGGCUUGAAUUCGGGAGAGGGAUGCAGAAUUCCAGGUGUAGCGGUGAAAUGCGUAGAUAUCUGGAGGAAUACCGGUGGCGAAGGCGGCAUCCUGGACCGACAUUGACGCUGAUGAGCGAAAGCUAGGGGAGCAAACGGG
rnacentral:rRNA from 1 species